GACGAACGCGGCGGCGUGCCUAAUACAUGCAAGUCGAGCGGACAGAUGGGAGCUUGCUCCCUGAUGUUAGCGGCGGACGGGUGAGUAACACGUGGGUAACCUGCCUGUAAGACUGGGAUAACUCCGGGAAACCGGGGUUAAUACCGGAUGGUUGUUUGAACCGCAUGGUUCAAACAUAAAAGGUGGCUUCGGCUACCACUUACAGAUGGACCCGCGGCGCAUUAGCUAGUUGGUGAGGUAACGGCUCACCAAGGCAACGAUGCGUAGCCGACCUGAGAGGGUGAUCGGCCACACUGGGACUGAGACACGGCCCAGACUCCUACGGGAGGCAGCAGUAGGGAAUCUUCCGCAAUGGACGAAAGUCUGACGGAGCAACGCCGCGUGAGUGAUGAAGGUUUUCGGAUCGUAAAGCUCUGUUGUUAGGGAAGAACAAGUACCGUUCGAAUAG
rnacentral:rRNA from 1 species